UAUAAAGAUAUUUAAAUCUGUUUCUUGCUAUCUCUUAAGUCUGGAAGGUUGGACUAGAGAGUUAUGGUCAGGGUUAUUAGAAUGUGGCCUGUUGAGAGCUGUUUUUUUCGUGGCAGAGUUGAUAGCAUUGAACUAAUCCUUCUUAACAUUGAUGAUAACAAGAUGUAGGCGAUGAUUCCCUCCGAUUGUCUUGAACAUUUAAGCCAUAUAUUUGUUGAGCAUUCAAUUUAUGUCAUCACUACCUUUCAUGUCAUGGAGAGUAUGAGUGGUUAAAUAGCCGGGUUCCACUUGUGUAACAUUGGGUAUUUUAAGUUAUAUAACAUUGUUCAAUCAGGGUGUGCCAUGCGGCACACCCUUUUUUCUAUAAAAAAAACUCAAUUAAAGGAGAAUAAGAGAACACGUGACUCAGAGAACAAGUGAAAACUCAAAAACGCAGUCCUAUUCUCUUCUCCCCUACGACAUCAGAACCCACCACCCACCAUCACUUUUCUCCGCCACCGCCGACACCUCCCUCCGUCGCCAUCCUCCUCUCCACCAUCGACCACCGUUCCUCUUCACUUUCUCUCCUGCGACACUCUUUUUCAAAUUUGAUGAAUUUGAUUUGGAAUUAAUUUUGAGAUUCAUUAAGGGAUUCAUUGAGGGUUGUUAUUGUAGAGAUCAGUAGACUAAUAACAACAAAUAUCCUUUCAGUUGUCUCUUGAGAGGUGGGUUGAUUUGUGAUUAUUUGAAUUUUGACAAAAAUAGUGAAAAGAGGGUUACAAUGAUGUUGCAGAGAAUUGCUAUUAUUAGUAUGCUAUGGUGAAAUUGAAAAUAUGUGAAUCUGAACAUCUGUUAUGAAAACGCAUAAGCGGAAAAAACGCAAUAUACUGCUAUUAGUCUGCUAAAUCUGUGAAACUGAGCAUCUGUUAUGAACAAUGCUCUUUAUGGCUUGAAGCAUGUACCUAUAUCUUGUAAUAAUAUAAUAUACUCCUUUCUAAUGAAUCUGCAGUUUAACAAA